rnacentral:lncRNA from 1 species
GGAGUCGGAGCCCGGGCCUUCUUCGAGCCAUUUAUGACAGAACUGUGUGGGGGAUAGAGGAGGGGAAAUAAAGUUGUUGUGCUCCUCACAAAUUUAAGUUGAUGCAGCUAUUGACUAAGAUAAUAUGCGGAAAAGAGGGAGGCAAAUAUGUCGCAGAUGCUCUGUGUGUGUAAGAGAAGCAUAAUACAUUACUAGUGGC